rnacentral:rRNA from 1 species
GAUGAACGCUGGCGGCGUGCCUAAUACAUGCAAGUCGAGCGAACAGACGAGGAGCUUGCUCCUCUGACGUUAGCGGCGGACGGGUGAGUAACACGUGGAUAACCUACCUAUAAGACUGGGAUAACUUCGGGAAACCGGAGCUAAUACCGGAUAAUAUAUUGAACCGCAUGGUUCAAUAGUGAAAGACGGUUUUGCUGUCACUUAUAGAUGGUUCCGCGCCGCAUUAGCUAGUUGGUAAGGUAACGGCUUACCAAGGCAACGAUGCGUAGCCGACCUGAGAGGGUGAUCGGCCACACUGGAACUGAGACACGGUCCAGACUCCUACGGGAGGCAGCAGUAGGGAAUCUUCCGCAAUGGGCGAAAGCCUGACGGAGCAACGCCGCGUGAGUGAUGAAGGUCUUCGGAUCGUAAAACUCUGUUAUUAGGGAAGAACAAAUGUGUAAGUAACUAUGCACGUCUUGACGGUACCUAAUCAGAAAGCAACGGCUAACUACGUG